AUACGGAGGGUGCAAGCGUUGUUCGGAAUUAUUGGGCGUAAAGCGCGUGUAGGCGGUCUGUUAAGUCUGGUGUGAAAGCCCUGGGCUCAACCCAGGAAGUGCAUUGGAUACUAGCAGACUUGAGUAUGGGAGAGGAAAGCGGAAUUCCGAGUGUAGGAGUGAAAUCCGUAGAUAUUCGGAGGAACACCAGUGGCGAAGGCGGCUUUCUGGACCAAUACUGACGCUGAGACGCGAAAGCGUGGGGAGCAAACAGGAUUAGAUACCCCAGUAGUCC
rnacentral:rRNA from 1 species